UACGUAGGGGGCAAGCGUUAUCCGGAUUUACUGGGUGUAAAGGGAGCGUAGACGGCAGCGCAAGUCUGGAGUGAAAUGCCGGGGCUCAACCCCGGAACUGCUUUGGAAACCGUGCAGCUAGAGUGCGGGAGAGGUAAGCGGAAUUCCUAGUGUAGCGAUGAAAUGCGUAGAUAUUAGGAGGAACACCAGUGGCGAGGGCGGCUUACUGGACCGUAACUGACGUUGAGGCUCGAAAGCGUGGGGAGCAAACAGG
rnacentral:rRNA from 1 species